UGGGGAAUUUUGGACAAUGGGCGAAAGCCUGAUCCAGCAAUGCCGCGUGUGUGAAGAAGGCCUUCGGGUUGUAAAGCACUUUUGUCCGGAAAGAAAUCCUUGGCUCUAAUACAGUCGGGGGAUGACGGUACCGGAAGAAUAAGCACCGGCUAACUACGUGCCAGCAGCCGCGGUAAUACGUAGGGUGCAAGCGUUAAUCGGAAUUACUGGGCGUAAAGCGUGCGCAGGCGGUUUGCUAAGACCGAUGUGAAAUCCCCGGGCUCAACCUGGGAACUGCAUUGGUGACUGGCAGGCUAGAGUAUGGCAGAGGGGGGUAGAAUUCCACGUGUAGCAGUGAAAUGCGUAGAGAUGUGGAGGAAUACCGAUGGCGAAGGCAGCCCCUGGGCCAAGUACUGACGCUCAUGCACGAAAGCGUGGGGAGCAAACAGGAUUAGAUACCCUGGUAGUCCACGCCCUAAACGAUGUCAACUAGUUGUUGGGGAUUCAUUUCCUUAGUAACGUAGCUAACGCGUGAAGUUGACCGCCUGGGGAGUACGGUCGCAAGAUUAAAACUCAAAUGAAUUGACGGGGUCAUAGCUG
rnacentral:rRNA from 1 species